GCUUGUCUCAAAGAUUAAGCCAUGCAUGUCUAAGUAUAAAUCUUUUACUUUGAAACUGCGAACGGCUCAUUAUAUCAGUUAUAGUUUAUUUGAUAGUCCCUUACUACUUGGAUAACCGUAGUAAUUCUAGAGCUAAUACAUGCGUCAAUACCCUUCUGGGGUAGUAUUUAUUAGAUGGAAACCAAUGCGGGGCAACCCGGAUUCUGGUGAUUCAUAAUAACUUUCGGAUCGAUCCUCGGAUCGAUGCAUCAUUCAAGUUUCUGCCCUAUCAGCUUUGGAUGGUAGGGUAUUGGCCUACCAUGGCUUUAACGGGUAACGGAGAAUUAGGGUUCGAUUCCGGAGAGGGAGCCUGAGAAAUGGCUACCACAUCCAAGGAAGGCAGCAGG
rnacentral:rRNA from 1 species